rnacentral:ncRNA from 1 species
CACCGCCUGUCGCUACUAUCGAUUGAAUGUGUUAGUGAGACCAUUGGAGUGGCCUUCGAAGCUUUCGCAAGACGGCCUCAAAUGGUUGCAAAGACGUCCAAACUGAUUCAUUUAGAGGAAGUAAAAGUCGUAACAAGAUUUCCGUAGAUGAACCUGCGGAAG